CCUACCUGUUUGAGAACUUGAAAACCGUUGAGAUCCCCACCCCUAAAUUAUAUAUAUUCAUAUGUAUGGGACAAAAUAACAAAUCAUUUACAUUUACUAUGGGCAAGUCAGUCAGACCUCACCUUUGAUCCCUGUUGUAGUGAACAUUUGUCUGAUUCGUGUCUCAUAACUUUUGUACUAUAGAACACAAACUCAGUUUUCUUUUCAGGGAAACCAGUCCAUUCAUACUAUUACAUGUUCAUACUAAGUCAACUUGAACUUCUAGCAGUCAAAUAAAACCAAGGUUAACUACCAAGUAGAACAACUGCAAUCAUUGGGAACUUGUACCACUGCAGACUCACCAUAAAAAAUAUACAUUGAUAUAUGCAUUGCUUUUGAAACCUUGAUAACAUAUAAAUUAUUUGCCUUAAUAAAUAAAUCAUUAGAUAAACAUGAAUGUACUAUAUAUGAAUGUUUAAUGUUGAGGCAACAUUGCCACAGUUUUCAUAAUUACGGUUGCCUUGGUUUUUGGUUAACUGCCUUCAGCGCUUACAGCGCUUUGAUUUGUUUUG
rnacentral:lncRNA from 1 species